rnacentral:pre_miRNA from 1 species
AUACUACUCCCUCCGAUCCAUAUUACUUGUCGAAAUAUUACAUGUAUCUAGACACUUUUUAGGCAUAGAUACAUCCAUAUUUGAGCAAAUUUGAGACAAUUAAUAUGAAUCGGAGGGAGUACCUA